UCAUCACUUUUUUCGUUCCUUACUUCCGCUUCCUACACGGUGUAUUGAAAAUAGCAUGUCAGUUUGUUUUUAGAGUAUUUGGAAGAAGAGUGCUGAAGAUAGGCAACAACUCCCAUAUGACCCUGCGGUGAUAACCAGUACAGUGGAUGGAUGGAUGGAUGGAUGGGUUGCCAGGGAUCACCAACUUUCCAAAACCCCUCUUCAAACAACCACCAACCUGAACUGUUCAUACAAGGCUGAAUGGAUCAGUCCAAUUAUACAAUCUGAAUGCCAAAGACAGAAUCGAGAUUCAUUG